rnacentral:rRNA from 1 species
UACAGAGGUGGCAAGCGUUGUUCGGAAUUACUGGGCGUAAAGGGCUCGUAGGCGGCCAACUAAGUCAUACGUGAAAUCCCUCAGCUUAACUGGGGAACUGCGUGUGAUACUGGAUGGCUUGGAUUUGGGAGAGGGAUGCGGAAUUCCAGGUGUAGCGGUGAAAUGCGUAGAUAUCUGGAGGAACACCGGUGGCGAAGGCGGCAUCCUGGACCAAUAUUGACGCUGAGGAGCGAAAGCCAGGGGAGCAAACGGG